rnacentral:rRNA from 1 species
AUGAACGCUGGCGGGGUGCCUUAAGCAUGCAAGUCGAACGGAGAGAUGAGUCCCGCAAUGUGCGGGAUUUGUCAAUCAGUGGCGGACGGGUGAGUAUAAGUAGGGAACGCACCCAGAACUAUCGCAUAGCUCGUCGAAAGACGGGGUAAUACGGUAUGUGAUCGCAAGAUUAAAGUCGCAAGACGGUUCUGGAACGGCCCUAUUCCCAUCAGCUUGUUGGUAGGGUAAUGGCCUACCAAGGCUACGACGGGUAGGGGGUGUGAGGGCACGACCCCCCACAAUGGCACUGAGCCACGGGCCAUACAUCUACGGAUGGCAGCAACUGGGAAUAUUCGGCAAUGGGCGAAAGCCUGACCGAGCACCACCGCGUGAGGGAUGAAGUAUUUCGGUAUGUAAACCUCUUUUAUAUAGUCGUCGCGGCUAUAAGAAUAAGCACCUCCCCCCUACGU